AGGAGAGUGUGGGCAGCUGGAGCCAGUUAGCACUGCCUCUAAGGUCUCCUGCAACUCACCCACCCACCCCUCUUACUCCAUGGUAUUCAACUUCUAAACUAAGAGGAAAGCCCGAGCUAGAGGUCCUAUGCAUCAAUCAGGGAAGAGAUAUUGAGAAGAAUAAACAGAGAAACUGAGUUCAAGCUUAACUCCCAACCCCUUGAGUGUGGGCUAGACUUAGUGACCUGCUUCUAAGGAAUAGAGUAUGGAAAGAGGAAAAUAGCAACAUUACAGGAGAGAAACCUGAAAGCAACUUAACCAAGUGAUCACAGAAUCACUGGUAAUAACUCUUGUUGAUAUCAUGUGCCCCCAAUACAGUAUGAUGAAAAGACCCAUCAUCUCGGUGAUAUUUAUCCUCAAAAUCUAUAAUCUUACAACAAUUAUGAGAAAAUAUAGACAAACCCAAUUUGAAAGGAAGCAAGUCUACAAGAUACUUAACCAGUACUUUACAAAAGUGACAAGGUCACAAAAGACAGCACAAGACUGAGAAACUCACAGAUUGGAGGAAGCCAAAGAGACAUCAUGGCUGAGAUCAUGGUGGUGGAACCCUGGUUUGGAUCCUGGAACAGAAAAAAAGAACACUAAGUGGAAAAACUGAUGAAAUAUAAAUAACAUAAUAAAAAUCUAUAAUUUAAU
rnacentral:lncRNA from 10 species